CCUACGGGGCGCAGCAGUGAGGAAUAUUGGUCAAUGGGCUAAGGCCUGAACCAGCCAAGUCGCGUGAGGGAAGACGGUCCUAUGGAUUGUAAACCUCUUUUGUCGGGGAGCAACGAGGCCACGUGUGGCCGAAGUGAGAGUACCCGAAGAAAAAGCAUCGGCUAACUCCGUGCCAGCAGCCGCGGUAAUACGGAGGAUGCGAGCGUUAUCCGGAUUUAUUGGGUUUAAAGGGUGCGUAGGCGGAUCGUUAAGUCAGUGGUCAAAUUGAGGGGCUCAACCCCUUCCCGCCAUUGAAACUGGCGCUC
rnacentral:rRNA from 1 species